AUGCUGACUGCAUGGUGCUUAUGGUGUCAUCGUAAUGCUUGCAUCUUUCAUGGCAUGCGGCCUUUCACAUUACGCGUCCUGCAUGAAAUCCAAGACCAAGCACGGCAAUGGGCGAGGGCAGAUGCUAAAGGAUUGACUAUCAUCCUUCACGAGACGUAA
rnacentral:rRNA from 1 species